UACAGAGGGUGCGAGCGUUGUUCGGAAUUACUGGGCGUAAAGCGCGCGCAGGCGGCUCUUUAAGUCUGACGGUGAAAUGCCGGGGCUCAACCCCGUGCCCGCCGCGGAUACUGGAGGGCUGGAGACACGUAGAGGCAAGCGGAAUUCCGGGUGUAGCGGUGGAAUGCGUAGAGAUCCGGAAGAACACCGGAGGCGAAGGCGGCUUGCUGGGCGUAGCCUGACGCUGAGGCGCGAAAGCCAGGGGAGCGAACGGG
rnacentral:rRNA from 1 species